rnacentral:rRNA from 1 species
AGUGGCGGACGGGUGAGGAAGACGUAGGUGACCUGCCUUGAAGUGGGGGAUAACCAUUGGAAACGAUGGCUAAUACCGCAUACGCUCAGUGCAAUGGGAAUUGCGGUGAGGAAAGCUUCGGCGCUGGAAGAGGGGCCUACGGCCGAUUAGCUGGUUGGUGAGGUAACGGCUCACCAAGGCGAUGAUCGGUAGCUGGUCUGAGAGGACGAUCAGCCACACGGGAACUGAGACACGGUCCCGACUCCUACGGGGGGCAGCAGUGAGGAAUAUUCGGCAAUGGGGGAAACCCUGACCGAGCAACGCCGCGUGGUGGAAGACGGUCUUUGGAUUGUAAACUCCUUUUCUGCGGGAAGAGCGAGGACGGUACCGCAGGAAUCAGUCACGGCUAACUACGUGCCAGCAGCCGCAGUAAUACGUAGGUGGCAAGCGUUAUCCGGAAUUACUGGGCGUAAAGCGCACGCAGGUGGUUAUCUAAGACGGACGUGAAAGCGCCUGGCUUAACUGGGCGAGGUCGUUGGUGACUGGAUAACUGGAGGCGAGGAGAGGGGUGUAGAAUUCCCGGUGUAGUGGUGGAAUGCGUAGAGAUCGGGAGGAAUACCAGUGGCGAAAGCGGCACCCUGGCCUUGGCCUGACGCUCAGGUGCGAAAGCGUGGGGAGCGAACGGGAUUAGAUACCCCGGUAGUCCACGCNGUAAACGAUGAAUACUAGGUGU